UACCUUGUUACGACUUCACCCCAAUCAUCGAUCUCACCUUCGACGGCUGGCUCCUUUUCAGGUUACCUCACCGGCUUCGGGUGCUCUCAACUCUCGUGGUGUGACGGGCGGUGUGUACAAGGCCCGGGAACGUAUUCACCGCAGCAUGCUGAUCUGCGAUUACUAGCGAUUCCGACUUCACGGAGGCGAGUUGCAGCCUCCGAUCCGAACUGAGAGCUUAUUUAUGGGAUCCGCUCCGCCUCGCGGCUUCGCUUCCCUCUGUUUAAGCCCAUUGUAGUACGUGUGUAGCCCAGGACAUAAGGGGCAUGAUGACUUGACGUCAUCCCCGCCUUCCUCCGCAUUGUCUGCGGCAGUCUCCCUUGAGUGCCCGACUUUACUCGCUGGCAACAAAGGAUAAGGGUUGCGCUCGUUGCGGGACUUAACCCAACAUCUUACGCCACGAGCUGACGGCAGCCAUGCACCACCUGUCUGCCUGUCAUCCCCAGAUGAACUCUCUAUCUUUAGAGCCGUCACGCAUCGUCAAGCCCUGGGUAAGGUU
rnacentral:rRNA from 1 species